GACGAACGCUGGCGGCGUGCUUAACACAUGCAAGUCGAAGAUAGUGGCGAACGGGUGAGUAAUACGUGGGUAACCUGACCUCCUUUUUGGGAUAAGCCUUGGAAACGGGGACUAAUACUGGAUGGAUUGGGAUGGGCUCGCGGCUUGUCAGCUUGUUGGGGGGGGGAGGGGUUACCAAGGCGUUGACGGGUAGCCGGCCUGAGAGGGGGGUCGGUCACACUGGGACUGGGAUACGGCCCAGACUCCUACGGGAGGCAGCAGUGGGGGAUAUUGCACAAUGGACGGAAGUCUGAUGCAGCGACGUCGUGUGGGGGAUGAAGGCCUGCGGGUUGUAAACUCCUUUCGCCCGCGGAAGGUUAGUGGGUAAAGAAGCGCCGGCUAACUACGUGCCAGCAGCCGCGGUAAUAC
rnacentral:rRNA from 1 species